rnacentral:rRNA from 1 species
AUGCACGCUGGCGGCGUGCCUAAUACAUUCCAGUCGAGCGAACAGAUGAGGAGCUUGCUCCUCUGACGUUAGCGGCGGACGGGUGAGUAACACGUGGAUAACCUACCUAUAAGACUGGGAUAACUUCGGGAAACCGGAGCUAAUACCGGAUAAUAUAUUGAACCGCAUGGUUCAAUAGUGAAAGACGGUUUUGCUGUCACUUAUAGAUGGAUCCGCGCCGCAUUAGCUAGUUGGUAAGGUAACGGCUUACCAAGGCAACGAUGCGUAGCCGACCUGAGAGGGUGAUCGGCCACACUGGAACUGAGACACGGUCCAGACUCCUACGGGAGGCAGCAGUAGGGAAUCUUCCGCAAUGGGCGAAAGCCUGACGGAGCAACGCCGCGUGAGUGAUGAAGGUCUUCGGAUCGUAAAACUCUGUUAUUAGGGAAGAACAAAUGUGUAAGUAACUAUGCACGUCUUGACGGUACCUAAUCAGAAAGCCACGGCUAACUACGUG